AAUGGAUGAGGAGUUUCUUCUUAUGGAUGAGCAAAGAAAGUGAUUUCUUGAGAUGGAACCUACUCUGGUGAAGAUGCUGUAAAGAUUAUGGAAGUGACAACA